UACGAAGGGGGCUAGCGUUGCUCGGAUUGACUGGGCGUAAAGGGCGCGUAGGCGGUUCGUACAGUCAGACGUGAAAUCCUGGGCUCAACCUGGGGGCUGCGUUUGAUACGUGCGGACUUGAGUGCGGAAGAGGGUCGUGGAAUUCCCAGUGUAGAGGUGAAAUUCGUAGAUAUUGGGAAGAACACCGGUGGCGAAGGCGGCGACCUGGUCCGAUACUGACGCUGAGGCGCGAAAGCGUGGGGAGCAACAGG
rnacentral:rRNA from 1 species